rnacentral:rRNA from 1 species
GACGUAGGGGCGAGCGUUGUCCGGAUUCAUUGGGCGUAAAGAGCGUGUAGGCGGCCUGGUAGGUCGGUUGUGAAAACGUCGAGGCUCAACCUCGAGACGUCGACCGAAACCACCUGGCUAGAGUCCGGAAGAGGAGAGUGGAAUUCCUGGUGUAGCGGUGAAAUGCGCAGAUAUCAGGAGGAACACCGGUGGCGAAGGCGGAUCUCGUGGGCCUGCUCCUGACGCUGAGCGCGAAAGCUAGGGGAGCGAACAGG